rnacentral:lncRNA from 1 species
AGCGGGCUCGACUCCUGUAGCUGCCUUAAUUUGCUUCAGUUCACAUUAAAACACCGACAACCCACUUGUAGCCAAGCACCGUCACCACCUCCUCUUUCUUUCUAGAGAGAUUUCUUUUUCCUCCCACCGCGUUCCGCCUCCAAUGAUUUCUAAUACCGGUUGCACUUUUUUUCUUCUUGGUUUUGACUCCAUUUGUCUCCAUUCCAAAUCUUUGGAAUCUGAUGCAUAGUGGCCUAAUCUCCUUAGUUGGGACCC